rnacentral:ncRNA from 1 species
GAAUUAUAAUUACCACCGAGCGGCGGGUAGAAUCCUUUGCAGACGACUUAAAUACGCGACGGGGUAUUGUAAGUGGCAGAGUGGCCUUGCUGCCACGAUCCACUGAGAUUCAGCCCUUUGUCGCUAAGAUUCGA